AGUAUCCUUCCCAACACUGUCUGUAAAUCCGUAAUGGACGAGCUCAGGCGCACAGGUAACUCACCCACCAACAUGGCAAAGCAGAUCAUGGAGAUGAUGCACCUGAAAUAUGAACGUGCUCACCUGGCCUUCCUCCUUACCUGCCAGAAUGUCAUGGAUGGUGAGGCAGGAAAGUAUGACCUAAGAACCAUCACUCAGUUCAUAAGACAGGAAACCAAGCCAGCUCCCUUUGGAGAGUAUGGGGAUUCAGAUGGCUGGAACGGGAUCUCUCACUACCUAACUGACUGCCUACUGCAUGAGUACAAACACCAGGAGGGUGCUAUCACAAAGCUUCUUCAGGGCACCUUUGGACAGGCUUUCCGCUCAGACCACACGGAAAGUUGCUAGGAAGGUCACCUUUUCAUCUGGGACCAUGUCAUCAUAUGCAGUCAUGAAUGAGAACUGGAUGAUCCUUUCAUGGGUGAUGGUGCAGUCUGAGACAGAAAAGUCACUGAAGCCCAUGUAUGAAGGGAUUGCUGCGCAGCAUUUAAGGUUGCAGAAUCUUACACAGGAGAGCACAUGAACUGGGAUGCUUGGACAACUACUAAUGGCAUUGUUGCUGCUGCCACUACUGGUGACCUGCUGAACACCUGUGCAUCAAGAGCCCACUACAAUAAAAACAUAAUUAUCAAGCUGGACUUGUUCCACUGUUUGAGACGGUUCCUCCGUGAGUGUGUGUCAGAGCAUCAUCCCCUGUACAGUUCCUUAAUUUGCUCAGUUCCUGUCGGCAGCCUUUUCAGUGGUGGAUCAGGAAGACCUGCAGAGACUUAAAGAGGCAUAUGCCUUCUGUGGCAUUCAGCCUGCCAACCCAACAAAGGCACACAUUCAUGAGCACAGCAGGACCAGAAUUCCACAGCCUGAGGAGCUCGUCAAGAGAGUUGAGGGAGUUUUCCAGCACUUUUACCUCGCAACUGAUCCAAACGGCGUUCCUCUCUUCAAGCCCUAUAUGCUGAAGACAUGACGCAUUCAGCGCAUACACAUCUUGCGCGGGUGCCUGAGUGAUCCUGAGGUUGAAGGUGGGAUCUUGUACCGGAACGGAGGAACACUGCAGCUAAACCACAUGCAGGGGGAAGGUGCUCAAGUUCCUGUGUGGUUCCCCAUCAGAGGCACUUCACAGCAAGAGGGAUACCAUUUCCAUCAGGCUCAGUGGGUCACUGGAACACACGUCUCCACAGAGCCGUUCCAAGCCCAGGGGAUGACAGGGGUGGCACGGUGGAAUUAUCAGCGCCUGGUGGACUUGAAACAGCCAGAUGUUCACCUCCCAACUGUCUUUGAUCCAGCUUAAAUGGCAGAACUAAAUGCAGUCUCUGAAAGAGUGCUGGGGCAUGUGAAGUAUGCAUCUUUUCAUUUCACUGGCAGAGACACUGGAGAGAAGUUUGGCUUGGAAUAUGUUGAGCCUGGUUGCCGCCCAGUUCCUCUAGACUGGGAUAAGCACAGGAGCAAGACAGACUUAACACCUGCCCUAAAUCCCCCUCCUCAAAGCAGCCCACCCACUGCCCAGGCUGAGCUUCCUCAGUCAUCUUCCAGCUCACCAGCCAAGCUCUUUCAGUUUGCUACAUGCUCUCCUGCUGUUAAACCAGAUGUGACUCCAAGUUCAACUCCUGAGCCUCAGACACGGCCAGAAACCAGAAGUCCGCUGUCUCUCCCCUUGCUUUCCUCACCAUCUGGUGCUCGCACUGGACCUGUGAAGACAGGUGGGAGGGUGUUUGUGUUGGACCACAAGCGCUGGCCAACCCCUAUGAAAAAGGCUAUUGACGACCUGCUUAAUAAACACCGUGGCCAGAAGGACAUGCAAUUAUUGUCUUUGAUUUGGCUGAGGAUGCCCAUUGGAAUUGAUGGUAACGCCUGAUAAAUGCCAUGUAAAAUGAAUGUAUAGACGGAUUCAGCAAACGCUCGGAGUUGUCAUGGUGAUGCGUCUGGCCCGAAGUUAACUUCCGGUCCAGCUGCGUUUGUUUACUAUUUAGCUAGGUUUUACCGGCGAAUAUGGCACCGACUACAAACGCAGUGAAAGUGAGACUGAUGAGCAGACUGAAGUUGGGUCUUUGUAGUUGGGAUGUUGCGCUGUUGGGUGCCCUCAGGAACAAACGCAAUCUCCAAAAGGUUUCCUAAAGAAGAGGGGAGACAGCGAGCAUGGAUCACCGCUGUGCGAAGAGAGGCUUGGCAGCCAGGCAAGAGUUCAAGGACUUCGUUUCAGCUAAUAAACUCAUGUUAAGUGAUAGCUAGCUGCCAGUAAAAAAAAAAACCUGCAAUAGUUCUAACUUACUUCACUAACUUGAUUGUAGCUACCUAGCUAAACUGUAACGUUAGAUCAAUGCUACGGUGCCAGUGUUGUAACGUCAGUUGACAGCUUUAGCUACAUUUUGACUAGUAUUGUGACACCCGUUUCCAAUUACUUGACAGCGUUACAUUACCCGAGUAUUUUCUGUUGGUAACCUAAGAAAAAUUACCCAAAACAUAAGAGCAACAUUGUUUUUCCAUCAAUAUACGCUAUACAAAUAAAUAACCUAAAGUUACAGUAAUUUAAUUGCUCCAGUAUGCUGCCCUCUAGACCCAGUUUGUGUCUCAUGUCAUGUGAUCAUGGUUUUAUCAUAAAGAGUGCAAUUGUUACACAGGAAUGAACAUGUAUAGUACAUGUAACCAUAUAUGGAUUAUGCCAGGAAUGUAUGAUGCUAACUGUUUCUGUCACCCAGAUUAUGUUCCAUCAAUAUUUGCACACAAAGAAGACAUCCAUGGUUCCCAGAAGUUGGAGAGGUACCAGAGAAGCCAGGGUAGACAAUCUCUAGUUGUGUCCAUCGAUUCACCUUCCAUAGAGGUCAGCCAUGUUGACCAUGAAGAGGAAUGCACUGUUGUGGUGGGUACGGAUCUGUCAAUGGCAGACAUUGACCAGCUACAAAAUGAAAACACUGAAUUGAAGAGAAAACUGGCUUUACUGGAGAAGAAACUGGAAUCUUAAGAAAAACACCUACAUGAUUAUAUGUCUGGUAGCAAGUCCGAUUUUAUUUUAAAUGAUGACAAGCACACUCAUUUUUACACCGGUCUACCAUCUGCCUCUGUGUUUUUCACCCUUCUCACUUACCUGACAACAAAAUGGAAUGCAUCAUCAACCAUACUUACCCAUCCUGAGCAGUUU